rnacentral:rRNA from 1 species
GACGAACCGUGCGAACGUUAUUCGGAAUCAUUGGGCUUAAAGGGCGCGUAGGCGGCGGUGUAAGUUGGAAGUGAAAUCCCAUCGGCUCAACCGUGGAAUUGCUCCCAGUACUGCAUCGCUCGAGGGGGAUAGGGGUUUGCGGAACUACCGGUGGAGCGGUGAAAUGUGUUGAUAUCGGUGGGAACGCCAGUGGCGAAAGCGGCAAACUUGACGCUUCCUGACGCUGAGGCGCGAAAGCUAGGGGAGCAAACGGG